GAUGAACGCUGGCGGCGUGCCUAAUACAUGCAAGUCGAGCGAACAGACGAGGAGCUUUCUCCUCUGACGUUAUCGGCGGACGGGUGAGUAACACGUGGAUAACCUACCUAUAAGACUGGGAUAACUUCGGGAAACCGGAGCUAAUACCGGAUAAUAUAUUGAACUGCAUUGUUCCAUAGUGAAAGACGGUUGUGCGGUGACUUAUAGAUGGAUCCGCGCCGCAUUAGCUAGUUGGGAAGGUAACGGCUUACCAAGGCAACGAUGGGUAGCCGCCCUGAGAGGGUGAUCGGACACACUGGAACUGAGACACGGUCCAGACUCCUACAGGAGGCCGCAGUAGGGAAUCCUACGCGAUGGGGCAAAGCCUGAUGGAGCACCGCCGCGUGAGUGAUGAAGGUCUUCGGAUCGUAAAACUCUGUUAUUAGGAAAGAACAAAUGUGUAAGUAACUAUGCACGUAUUGACGGUACCUAAUCAGAAAGCCCCGGCUAACUACGUG
rnacentral:rRNA from 1 species